CAGAGACAUAAGUGGAGGGAGAGCUACUGGGCAUGGAUCCACAGAAGAGGAAGCAGAAUCUCACAUCAUAACCCCAAAUGACCUGUUACUCACCACGUGACCCAGCUGCCUUCAAACUCACCAGGCUCCUGCCUUAGCCUUCUAAAUGCUUGGAUUAUAGGCAUGACCCACUAUAAACUGGCUUUGUUUUAGUUUCAGAGAAGAUGAAACUGAUGUUCGUCAAAAAGGGGGUUAGAGUUAAAAGAUUGCCUUGAAUAUCACAAGAAAAUUUGGACUUUGAGCCUGUACUGAGAUCAUGGAAAACUGGGGAAUUUUAACAUUUGAUAAGUGAAUUUUGCAUUACGUCUGCUUCCAACUAGGACAAGACAUGAGUUCUCAACUCCUGCCACAGCUCUAUGCCUCAGCGCCUUGUUGUCCUGUUGAUGGUCAUAGACUCUAAACCUCUGGAACCAUGAACCCCAAUAAACUUGU